rnacentral:rRNA from 1 species
AGCUCCAAUAGCGUAUAUUAAAGUUGUUGCAGUUAAAAAGCUCGUAGUUGGAGUUGUGGUUAAUGGAAGGCUUCCAUUCCUCUUUGGUUUUGGUAUCGCCUUUUGUUUCCAUCCUUGGGUCUAUUUUGUGUGGCAUUAGGUUGUCGUGCAAGGGAUGCCCACCAUUUACUGUGAAAAAAUUAGAGUGUUCAAAGCAGGCUUAUGCCGUUGAAUAUAUUAGCAUGGGAUAAUGAUAUAGGACCUUGGUGCUAUUUUGUUGGUUUGUGCGCCAAGGUAAUGAUUAAUAGGAUCAAUUGGGGAUAUUCGUAUUCCACUGUCAGAGGUGAAAUUCUUGGAUUUUUGGAAGACGAACUACUGCGAAAGCAUUUAUCAAGGAUGUUUUCAUUAAUCAAGAACGAAA